rnacentral:rRNA from 1 species
AGCAGCCGCGGUAAUUCCAGCUCCAAUAGCGUAUAUUAAAGUUGUUGCAGUUAAAAAGCUCGUAGUUGAAUUUCGGGAUCAAUUUGCUGGUCGUGCCUCUGGUACGUACUGGUAUUAUUGGUUUCUCCCUUCUGACGAACCAUGAUGUCAUUAAUUUGAUGUCGUGGAGAAUCAGGACUGCUACUUUGAAAAAAUUAGAGUGUUUAAAGCAGGCAUUAGCUUGAAUACAUUAGCAUGGAAUAAUGAAAUAGGACGUUUGAUCCUAUUUUGUUGGUUUCUAGGAUUGACGUAAUGAUUAAUAGGGAUAGUUGGGGGCAUUAGUAUUCAAUUGUCAGAGGUGAAAUUCUUGGAUUUAUUGAAGACUAACUACUGCGAAAGCAUUUGCCAAGGAUGUUUUCAUUAAUCAAGAACGAAAGUUAGGGGAUCGAAGACGAUCAGAUACCGUCGCAGUCUUAACCAUAAACUAUGCCGACUAGGGAUCGGAUGAUGUUAAUUUUUUAAUGUA